rnacentral:rRNA from 1 species
GUGGGGAAUUUUGGACAAUGGGCGCAAGCCUGAUCCAGCAAUGCCGCGUGCAGGAAGAAGGCCUUCGGGUUGUAAACUGCUUUUGUACGGAACGAAACGGUCCUGGUUAAUACCUGGGGCUAAUGACGGUACCGUAAGAAUAAGCACCGGCUAACUACGUGCCAGCAGCCGCGGUAAUACGUAGGGUGCGAGCGUUAAUCGGAAUUACUGGGCGUAAAGCGUGCGCAGGCGGUGCUGUAAGACAGGCGUGAAAUCCCCGGGCUCAACCUGGGAAUUGCGCUUGUGACUGCAGUGCUGGAGUACGGCAGAGGGGGAUGGAAUUCCGCGUGUAGCAGUGAAAUGCGUAGAUAUGCGGAGGAACACCGAUGGCGAAGGCAGUCCCCUGGGCCUGUACUGUCGCUCAUGCACGAAAGCGUGGGGUGCAAACAGGAUUAGAAACCCGGGUAGUCC